ensembl:lncRNA novel transcript
AUUUGAAAAAAAAAUUAGAAACUGCGCAACCACAGGAAAACCGCCUGGCAAAGAUUCAAAGUGUAGGCAAAAACCUGCAGAGAGUGAACAGAGUCCUCAUGGGCCCAAGGAGCAUCCAGGAAAGGCACUUCAAAAAGGUGGGAAAGCACAGCACUAGGAAAGAACAGGAUGCCCAGGCAUUUGUGGACAAUGCUGCCAAAGGAAAAAGGCUUGAGGGUCCAGCCCCAAGGGAGCUGGAACAGCCUCACAUAGUGCAGGGGCCUGAGAAGGUAGUGGGAAACACCAUCUACACCAAGCCUUCAUUCACCCAAGAGCAUAAGGCAGCAGUCUCCUCUGUGCUGAAACCCUUCUCCAUGGGCGUGCCUUCUGCCUCUAGCCCUGCAAAAGCCCUACCUCAGGUCAGAGACAGAUCGAAAGACUUAGCCUACACCAUUUUAAUUUUAGAAAUGGCAAUGGCUAGAGUGAAAAACAUGAAGGCUGCUAAACCAAUCACACAUUCCAGAAAAAAAUAGCGCUUUUAUAAAACUCACUCCAUUGUGGCCCACAGAACACCCAAGGCCAAAAAGAUUAGAAAGUUUAGAAAGGGCAGUUAUCUCAACAGACCGAUGCUCGCAAAGAGGCCGCUGUUCUCUGCAGCAAAGAGCCUCAUACAUUCGCAAGGGAUUUUUUCAUCCUUAGGAGACCUGAGUCCUCAAGAAAACCCUCUUCUGGAAGUAGUUGCUCCUUCAGAACGUUUUACAGAAAACACUAAUGUAAAAGACACAACUAAUGUAAAAGACACAAAAGAGAUGUGUUCAAAGACACAUCUCUGAAAACACAAACUACAAUCAUCCUCCUGAGGCAGUUUCCGCUGGGACUGCAUUCAACUUAGAACCAACUGUUAAACAAACUGAGACAAAAUGGGAAUACAACAAUGUGGGCAUUGACUUGUCCCCUGAGCCCAAAAGCUUCAAUUACCCAUUGCUCUCGUCCCCAGGUGAUCAGCUUGAAAUUCAGCUAACCGAGCAGCUACGGUCCCUCAUCCCCAACGAGGAUGUGAGAAAGUUCAUGUCUCAUGUUAUCUGGACCUUGAAAAUGGAAUGUUCAGAAACACAUGUGCAAGGGAGCUGUGCCAAGCUCAUGUCGCGAACAGGCCUCCUGAUGAAGCUUCUCAGCGAGCAGCAGGAAGCAAAGGCAUUGAAUGUAGAAUGGGAUACGGACCAACAAAAAACAAAUUAUAUUAAUGAGAACAUGGAACAGAAUGAACAGAAAGAGCAGAAGUCAAGUGAGCUCAUGAAAGAAGUUCCAGGAUAUGACUAUAAGAACAAACUCAUCUUCGCAAUAUCUGUGACUGUCAUACUAAUAAUUUUGAUUAUAAUUUUUUGUUUUAUAGAGGUAAAGACAAUAAUUAAUUCAGGUUUUCAAAAUACAAUCCUGUGUUUGUGUGGAUUCAGAAUCCACAAACUGAAAACCAACGUCACUUUCCCACUUGACAUUCUUCUUCUGUCAUUUAAGGCUGAGGUGUGCUUUGUUCUUUUACUGCAAUGUAUAUUCCAGGAUUGUUAAAGGAUCCUCGCUUCCAGGAGGUCUCUGUGAAAUAAAACCAAGUUAAUCCCACUAGACUAUUUUAAGAAGUUAAGUUGAUAUAAUAGCAAAAUUUCUCCCACCCAAAACUAUGUCAACAAUUGGAUGUACUCACUGAGUCACCCCUUACUCUGCCACUAAUUUAUUUCCUUGUUGCUUAAAUGAUGAGAGACAUAUAAUCUCCACCCUCACGGAGUUGUCAUCACCCUGGAGAGGAAGAAGACAGCCAAAAGAGAGAAGUAUUGUCUUGUAGACUUACUAGAUUCACAUAGUAUCAUCCUUCUCCAGUGUGUAAGGUGUUGUCUAAAUAGGUCCAGUUAAAGAACUACAGGGUAGCCAUUUUUAAAAAAAAAUUUUGGCCACGUUUUCAAAUUCACAGGGGAGGGGGAAUGUCUCAUACUCCAGCCCUCCUGAGCCUAGGCCCUCUGUGAGAUGUGUCACCAUUUCUUGGACACCAUAUGAGACAUUCCCCCUCGGAUUAGAGAUGCUCAACCUGCAUCAACAAAUCUAAAGCCUGCAUCUGGCUACCCUGGGGCGAGUCCUGUUUACAGUGCCUAUUCCUGGAGCUCGCCUCUUUUUGCCUUUUGUUUGAUUAUGUGAUGUAUUACUUUUCCCAGCAGGCCAGUGCUAGCAUACUGGAAGAGGGAUUUAAUAAGCUGGCACCCUUGAUGCUAUGCUCCUAAUCCAACCUUAUUUGCCUCAUUGGCCAUUUCCAUUAUGGUGGCAGCCCUCCAUUCCAGCCACAGCAGCCCCUCAGCGUCCCCCAGUCACACUGUCCCCAUUGCUGCUCAUCUGUGCCUUUGUCCAUCUACAAUGCCCUUAUUUCACUCUGCCUGUGGGAGUCCUGUGAAUCUCUCCAAAGCCAACUCAGUUCAUCUUUCUGCUUGAAACCUUCCCUGAAUAGGCCAGGUGCGGUGGCUCACGCCUGUAAUCCCAGCACUUUGGGAGGCCAAGGCAGGCGGAUCACAAGGUCAGGAGAUCGAGACCAUCCUGGCUAACACAGACCAUUCUCUACUAAAAAUGCAAAAAAUUAGCUGGGUGUGGUGGCGGGCGUGUGUCGUCCCAGCUACUUGUGAGGCUGAAGCAGGAAAAUGGCAUGAACCUGGGAGGUGGAGCAUGCAGCCAGCCAAGAUCGGGCCGCUGCACUCCAGCCUGGGGGACAGAGCGAGACUCUGCCUCAAAAAAAAAAAAAAAAAGAAACUUCCCUGAAUAUUCCAGCCCUCCUGAGCCUAGUCCCUUUGUGAGAUUUGUCCCCAUUUCUUGGACACCAUAUAAGAGACUUCAGAGGCUGAAGUGGGAGGAUUGCUUGAGCCUGGGAGGUCGAGGAUGCAGUGAGCUGUGGUCAUACCACUGCACUCUAGCCUGGGCAACAGAGCGAGACCUUGUCUCAAAAACAGCCACCACCAAAAACUAUCUUGGGAUUUGAAUAGGAUUACCUUAAAUUUGUAGAUUAAUUUGAGAAUUGACAUCUGUACGACAUUCUAGAACAUGGUAUUUCAUGUCAUGUAUUCAUUUCUUGUUAAUGUCUUUCAGAAGAGUUUUAGGGUUUCCAUCAUAUAGAUCUUACACGUCUUUUGUUAGAUAACAGAUCUUUGUAUUUUUGUUCCUAAAUACUUCAGACAUUUGUAUUGCCAUUGUAAAUGGGAUCUUUCUUCCAUUUUCUAGUUAGUUAUUGGUGGUACAUCUGAAAAGCAUUUGAGGUUUGUGUGCUGCUCUCUUGAUUUUGUUUCUAGCCACCGUACUGAAUUCUCAUAUUACUUCCAGUAAAAUCUUAGUUGAUUCUCUUAGGCUUCUUUGGCUAACAUUUAUUAUUUUAUAUGCAAAUAAUUAUAGUUUUGUCUCUUCCUUUUCAAUACUUACACUCUUUCCUUCCUUUCCUUUCUUUUUUUUUUCUUUCUCAGGGCCUUGUUGUCACCCAGACUGGAGAGCAAUGGUGUGAUCUAGCUCACUGUAACCUCAAACUCCUGGGCUUAAGGGAUCCUCCUGCCUCAGCUUCCUGAGUGGCUGGGACUACAGGCAGGCAGUGAAUUUUAAAACUUUUGGUGUAGAGACAAGAUCUUGCUAUGUUGCCCAGGCUGGUUUUCCUGCCACUUUAGAGCAGGUUUCCUUUUUUUCAUACUUUUAAGAGGUUUUUAUUAGGAAUUGUCCAUUGAAUGUUAGCUAAAACAGUCAAUAAAAUGCGUUAAGUACCAGCUACAUGCAAGACCCUAAGUUAGAUACAGUCAGCCCUCUUCAUCAGCAGGUCCACAUCUUCAGAUUCAACUAGAUAAGGCUGAAUAUUUGAAGAAAAAAACAAUAAAAAUACAAUUAGAAAGUACAGUAUAACAACUGUUGCCAUGAUACAAUAUCUAUACAUUUUAUUAGUGAUGACCUAAAGUUCAUGGGACCAGGCACGGUGACUCACACUUGUAAUCCCAACACUUUGGGAGGCCAACCUGGGCAGCAUAGUGAGACCUUGUCUUUAAUAAAAAUAAAAAUAAAAAAAUUAGCUAGUGUGGUGGUAUGCACCUGUAGUCCCAGCUACUCAAGAGGCUGAGGUGGGCAGAUCACUGGAGCCCAGGAGGUUGCGGCUGCUGUGAGCUGUGAUUGUGACACUGCUCUCCAGCCUGAGUGACAGAGGGUGAUCCUGUCUCUAAGUAAGUAAAUAAAUAAAGUAUAUGGGGGGGAUGUGUGUUGGUUAUAUGCAAACACUGCACCAUUAUACGUAAGGGAUUGAGCAUCCACAGAUUCUGGUAUGGUGUGGAGGCGAUAUCCUAGAACCAGUCGUCUGCAAGGUAGCAAGGAUGACUGAACUGUGGAAGAAUCAAAGCACUGUUAAACAGCAUACAAUUCCUGUCUUCAAAAAAGUUAUCUCAUCGGGUAGAUGAGACUUAAAAUGAAUAAAAGGAAUGAAUACACAUUGGAGAUAGUGGUUGUUGUGAUAGAUAACCUUAAUUGUGUUUUCUUCCAAAACGGGUGAAUUCACAUAAAAGGGCAUCAGAAAAAUACAAAGACAACCCAUCAAUAUCAGGAGCCUGAGCAUGAGUUAAAGCAUGUGGAUGGCCUAGAGCCAUGUUUUUAAAAUUGUUAUUAAAUAUUGGUUUUUUACUUAAAUCAAUGAAAACUUUCUUUACUUUGUGGUUGUGUUCCUCAAAAUGAGAAUUUUUAACAAUAAUAAAAAUAAAGCUUAUUAGAUCAUU